rnacentral:rRNA from 1 species
UACGUAGGGUGCAAGCGUUAAUCGGAAUUACUGGGCGUAAAGCGUGCGCAGGCGGUUAUGUAAGACAGAUGUGAAAUGCCCGGGCUUAACCUGGGAACUGCAUUUGUGACUGCAUGGCUAGAGUGUGUCAGAGGGGGGUAGAAUUCCACGUGUAGCAGUGAAAUGCGUAGAGAUGUGGAGGAACACCGAUGGCGAAGGCAGCCCCCCUGGGCUGACACUGACGCUCAUGCACGAAAGCGUGGGGAGCAAACAGG